rnacentral:tRNA from 1 species
GGCGUAUUAGUAAACCCAUUACAUGGUCUUGUCAAGACCAAAUCAUAGGUGAAACCCCUAUAUACACCC